UGUUAAUGUAUGGUAACUUGUUUUCUCUCUGUUUACGUGCAAUCGGUACUGGAGUCUUUUGACUAUGGUCUGUAACAAGGCAGUCAAAUGGCUGAUGAAACAAAAUAAAACUCAUCGUCAUGGACCCACUACCUGCGGAAGCUAGCUCUCCAAUCAACUAAACAGACUCAAUGACACCACGCGCACUUGUGUUUGUGUUCCUCCCUGGACGUGUAUGUCCACCAAGGGCGUCAUUUAUCCAGCCGCCUGGAGGCAUAAAAACAACCCCGCUGCCAGCCUUGAUGGUUCCUCCUGCUGUACCUGUGUGGAUUGGGGUCAAAGGUCAGCAGUCACAGGCAAUCAGGAGUAAAUGGAGCUGGUGUAACUCUAAGAAAAGAGCUUUAGAACAAAUCCAAGGCCGUGGUCUGGUGUGUCUGUGAUCGCAAUACUCCUCUUUCACUCAGCCUUCGCCACUCUAACAGGAUUUAUUCUUGUUUAUUUCCAAACGUCCGACCUUGCUGACGGUCCCAGGUCUCCUCGAUGUGUCUCCAAAAAAGCACACAUUCGUUUUUAAAGGUGUGACCAGUCGGCGUGCUCAAUCCUCAG